rnacentral:rRNA from 1 species
UCCCGUUGAUCCUGCGGGAGGUUGCUGCUAUUAGGAUUCGACUAAGCCAUGCAAGUUUGAUAGCAAUAUCGGCGGAAUGCUCAGUAACACGUCGCUAAUCUGCCCUUUGGUUAUUGAUAACUUCGGGAAACUGAGGGUAAACAAUAAUAGGGGAUAUUACCUGGAAUGGUAUUUCUCUGAAACUCGUGCCAAAGGAUGAGGUGGCGGUUGAUUAGGUAGUUGGUGGUGUAAUGGACCACCAAGCCCAUGAUCAAUACGGGCCUUGAGAGAGGUAGCCCGGAGAGGGACACUGAGAAACUGGUCCCAGCCCUACGGGGUGCAGCAGGCGCGAAACCUUUACAAUGCACGCAAGUGUGAUAAGGGGAUCCUAAGUGCUCAUGCAACGCAUGGGCUUUUGUCAAGAGUAAAUAUCUUGAUGAAUAAGUGGUGGGUAAGACUGGUGCCAGCCGCCGCGGUAACACCAGCGCCACGAGUGGCAACCACGUUUAUUGGGCCUAAAGCGUCCGUAGCCGGUUCGAUAAAUUUCUUGUGAAAUCGUCAAGCUCAACUUGACGGCGCGCUUGAAACACUGUCGUACUUGAGACCGGGAGGAGUCAGAGGUAUUCCAAGGGGAGCGGUAAAAUGUGAUAAUCCUUGGAGGAUCACCUAUGGCGAAGGCAUCUGACCAGAACGGAUCUGACGGUGAGGGACGAAGGCUAGGGGAGCGAUCCGGAUUAGAUACCCGAGUAGUCCUAGCAGUAAACGCUGCGAGCUAGAUGUUGCACAUCUUAAGAGGAUUUGCAGUGUCGACAGGAAGCUAUUAAGCUCGCCGCCUGGGAAGUACGGUCGCAAGACUGAAACUUUAAGGAAUUGGCGGGGGAGCACCACAAGGGGUGCGGCGUGCGGUUUAAUCUAACUCAACGCAGAGAACCUUACUAGAAGCGACGGUAGGAAGAAGAUCAGUCUGAAGGGCUUAUCUGACGAGCCGAGAGGUAGUGCAUGGCCGCCGUCAGCUCGUGCCGUAAGGUGUCCAGUUAAGUCUGGCAACGAGCGAGACCUAUACUCUCUAUUGCUAACAGCCACAUGUGGGACUGAGCACUUUGAGAGGACUGCCUUGGAAACAAGGAGGAAGGUGUAGGCAACGGUAGGUCUGUAUGCUCCGAAUCUUCUAGGCUACACGCGCGCAACAAUGGUAGUGACAAUGGGCUGCGACUCCGAAAGGAGAAGCUAAUCCUUCAAACACUACCUCAGUUCGGAUUGCGGGUUGAAACUCACCCGCAUGACGCCGGAAUCCCUAGUAAUUGAAUGUCAUCAUCGUUCAGUGAAUAUGUCCCUGCUCCUUGCACACACCGCCCGUCAAACCAACCGAGCAGGAUUUUGGUAAAAUUUACUUUUUUGAGUGAAUUGAACCUGAGUUCAGUGAGGCGGGUUAAGUCGUCACAAGGUAGCCGUAGGGGAACCUGCGGCUG